AUAACGGGGAUGAUUGUGUUGGAUGACAGUCAGGAUUUCAGGAGAAAAAAAAAGACGCGAAGAAAGUUGUGGAAUGGUUGUCUUGACACAAAAAAUUAAGGUUAACGAGGUAUGGAGAAGAUGACAAGAUAUGAACAGGUGAUUCAGCAGGCCAAAGAAGCCUACCACUCUGGCCGAACCCGGGAUGUCGAGUUCCGCAAGAAGCAGCUUAAGGCCCUCAAGCGCAUGUACGAGGAGAAUGAAUCAGUGUUCUGCUCUGCCCUUGCCAAAGAUUUGCAUAAGCCAAAACAGGAAUGUGUGUUGCUUGAACUAAAUCUGUUAAAAGAUGACAUCACAUACAUCCUUGCCAGGAUUGAUGAAUGGGCUAAGCCAGAAAAGAUUGCAGCAAAUUUGGUGACAAUGUUUGACACUCCUUUGAUAUACCAUGACCCCUAUGGUGUAGUGCUGAUUAUGGGAGCUUGGAAUUACCCACUUCAGCUUCCUCUUCUUCCUUUGUCAGGUGCCAUUGCUGCUGGAAACUGUGUGAUCAUCAAACCAUCCGAGAUUUCACCUGCCACAGCACAGGCAGUUGCUGAACUUCUUCCAAAAUACUUGGAUAGUGAAUGUUAUCAUGUGGUAUGCGGUGGUAUUCCUGAAACAGAGGAGCUCCUCAAACAGCGAUUUGACUACAUCUUCUACACUGGAUCACCCCAAGUCGGGAAGAUUAUUCGAGAUGCUGCCAAUAAACACCUAACUCCAACUACUCUUGAGCUGGGUGGAAAGAGUCCCGUCUACAUUGAUGACACUGUGAACAUGGACGUCGCAGUUCGCCGCAUCAUGUGGGGAAAAUGCAUCAAUCUUGGCCAAACCUGCAUUGCCCCUGACUAUAUCCUCUGUUCAAAGGAAGUUCAGGAUAAGUUUGUGAACAAGGCAAGGGAGGUAAUGAAGGAGUGGUAUACUGAAAACCCUCAAAAGUCUCCGGAUUUGUGCAGGAUUGUUACAGAUAAACAUGUCAAUCGCCUAGAAGAGUAUCUCAAGGAUGGGACAGUAGCUGUUGGCGGAGAAGUGGAUAAGGAAGACAAGUGGAUUUCCCCGACCAUCCUUGUGGAUGUUAACCCUGAGAGCAAGGUUAUGACUGAAGAGAUUUUUGGACCUAUUAUGCCUAUUGUAAAUGUCAACUCAGCAUAUGAGGCUAUCAACUUCAUCAACAAAAGGGAGAAGCCACUAACUCUAUACAUCUUUACGAAGCACAAAGAUAUUCCAAACCUCUUUUUAGCACGCACAUCUAGUGGGAGUUGCUGUGUGAAUGACACUGUGAUUCACUUGUCAGUUCAUGACCUUCCAUUUGGUGGAAUUGGAAACAGUGGUAUGGGAGCUUAUCAUGGCAAAGCUUCCUUUGACACGUUUACUCACCGUAAAUCCUGCCUCAUUCGGAACUACAACAAGAUUGCCGAUGUUAUUGGAGCCAAGCGUUACCCACCAUACAGUGAGAGUAACAUGAAGUUCCUCAGCAAUAUGCUCAAGGAACGUGCAACUCCCAGCUUAAAGUACCUGCCAUAUCUUCUUACAUUUGGCCUUGGUGUUGCUUCUGUGUUUGCUGUAAAGGAAAUUGCCAAGGGUGGUUUACAAGAAUGGUUGAAUCGUAGAGUUGGCCUACUUUCAGCUUUUCGAUCAUCCAGGUCUUAGAACUUUCGUAGAAGUUAUUCCUCACACUUAAAAAUAUUGAAUUAAAAAGUCAAGCAGUUGGAGCAGAUGACGAUUAGGUGAAAUCGUGAAGGCCAGUAUUGUGUUUAUAAUGGAACACUGUGUAAGGGAAUUAUUUAACCAUAUAUGAAAAAUAUAGUCUAGUGUAAGGACUUCCCAGCCAAAGGGAAGGCAGA